rnacentral:rRNA from 1 species
AGUCAGAGGCGAUGAAAGACGUGAUAGCCUGCGAAAAGCUCCGGGGAGGCGGCAAAUAUCCUUUGAUCCGGAGAUGUCUGAAUGGGGGAACCCACCUACUUUAAGGUAGGUAUUGCAACAUGAAUACAUAGUGUUGCAAGGCGAACGAGGGGAAGUGAAACAUCUCAGUACCCUUAGGAAAAGAAAUCAAUUGAGAUUCCCUCAGUAGCGGCGAGCGAACGGGGAUCAGCCCAUUAAGUUAUGUGUGUUUUAGUGGAACGCUCUGGGAAGUGCGAACGUAGAGGGUGAUAUUCCCGUACACGAAAGGGCACACAUAAUGAUGACGAGUAGGGCGAGGCACGUGAAACCUUGUCUGAAUAUGGGGGGACCAUCCUCCAAGGCUAAAUACUCCUGACUGACCGAUAGUGAACCAGUACCGUGAGGGAAAGGCGAAAAGAACCCCUGUGAGGGGAGUGAAAUAGAUCCUGAAACCGCAUGCAUACAAGCAGUGGGAGCACCUUCGUGGUGUGACUGCGUACCUUUUGUAUAAUGGGUCAGCGACUUAUAUUCAGUAGCGAGGUUAACCGUAUAGGGGAGCCGUAGAGAAAUCGAGUCUUAAUAGGGCGUUUAGUUGCUGGGUAUAGACCCGAAACCAGGCGAUCUAUCCAUGAGCAGGUUGAAGGUUGGGUAACACUAACUGGAGGACCGAACCCACUGUCGUUGAAAAGCCAGGGGAUGACUUGUGGAUAGGGGUGAAAGGCUAAUCAAGCCUGGUGAUAGCUGGUUCUCCCCGAAAGCUAUUUAGGUAGCGCCUCGGACGAAUACCAUAGGGGGUAGAGCACUGUUUCGGCUAGGGGGUCAUCCCGACUUACCAAACCGAUGCAAACUCCGAAUACCUAUGAGUACUAUCCGGGAGACAGACUGCGGGUGCUAACGUCCGUAGUCAAGAGGAAAACAAUCCAGACCGCCAGCUAAGGCCCCAAAAUCAUAGUUAAGUGGGAAACGAUGUGGGAAGGCAUAGACAGCUAGGAGGUUGGCUUAGAAGCAGCCACCCUUUAAAGAAAGCGUAAUAGCUCACUAGUCGAGUCGGCCUGCGCGGAAGAUGUAACGGGGCUAAAACUAUGUGCCGAAGCUGCGGAUGUAUACUUUGUAUACGUGGUAGGGGAGCGUUCUGUAAGCCGAUGAAGGUGUGUUGAGAAGCAUGCUGGAGGUAUCAGAAGUGCGAAUGCUGACGUGAGUAACGACAAAACGGGUGAAAAACCCGUUCGCCGAAAGACCAAGGGUUCCAGUCCAACGUUAAUCGGGGCUGGGUGAGUCGACCCCUAAGGCGAGGCCGAAAGGCGUAGUCGAUGGGAAAAUGGUUAAUAUUCCAUUACUUCUGUGUAAUGCGAUGAGAGGACGGAGAAGGCUAAAUCAGCCUGGCGUUGGUUGUCCAGGUGAAAGGAUGUAGGCAUGUAUCUUAGGCAAAUCCGGGGUACUCUAUGCUGAGAUCUGAUAGCAAGCUGUACUUGUACAGCGAAGUGGUUGAUGCCAUGCUUCCAGGAAAAGUCUCUAAGCUUCAGUUACACAGGAAUCGUACCCGAAACCGACACAGGUGGUCAGGUCGAGUAGACCAAGGCGCUUGAGAGAACUCUGCUGAAGGAACUAGGCAAAAUGGUACCGUAACUUCGGGAGAAGGUACGCUGUUGUUGGUGAUGGAACUCGCUUCCUGAGCUGACGACAGCCGCAGAAACCAGGCCGCUGCAACUGUUUAUUAAAAACAUAGCACUCUGCAAACACGAAAGUGGACGUAUAGGGUGUGAUGCCUGCCCGGUGCUGGAAGGUUAAUUGAUGGGGUUAGCGUAAGCGAAGCUCUUGAUCGAAGCCCCAGUAAACGGCGGCCGUAACUAUAACGGUCCUAAGGUAGCGAAAUUCCUUGUCGGGUAAGUUCCGACCUGCACGAAUGGCAUAAUGAUGGCGGCGCUGUCUCCAGCAGAGGCUCAGUGAAAUCGAAAUCGCUGUGAAGAUGCAGUGUACCCGCGGCUAGACGGAAAGACCCCGUGAACCUUUACUGCAGCUUGACACUGAACUUUGACCUUACUUGUGUAGGAUAGGUGGGAGGCUUUGAAGCUGGAACGCUAGUUCCAGUGGAGCCGUCCUUGAAAUACCACCCUGGUAAUGUUGAGGUUCUAACUCUGUCCCGUGAUCCGGGACGAGGACCGUGUCUGGUGGGUAGUUUGACUGGGGCGGUCUCCUCCUAAAGAGUAACGGAGGAGUACGAAGGUGCGCUCAGCGUGGUCGGAAAUCACGCGUAGAGUAUAAAGGCUGGCGCUUAUACACAUCUGACG